GAGAGUUACUGACAUACUGACAAACUGACAUACAAGUGAAGCUAAUAUAAAGCGUGGAAAAAAGAAAUCAGCUGCCCGGUUGAUAAACAAGGAUGGUUUCGUUUCUCCCAUUAAUUGAGUGAAAACCAUCUUUGGGAUCAACCGAUUAUUUCCAGCGUACAUCUGAAAAUGUUGUAUAUCGAUUUAUUUGUACCAGAACAACCAUUGUCAAAAAAUUUGAAAGGAAAGUGUCAUUCGUACAUGCCUCCAAAUCUCUUUAUUAGGUCUAUCAGGACCUAGGGAAUAAUAUUCUUAAGUUUGAAAAACUGCGUCGAUUGCCAUAAACAGAAUGAAAAUUGAACAAUUUGUUCAAGCGUAAUCGUUAUCAAAAAAUGUGUAAGAGUGUUUUUCUUCCAUAACCAUUAAAUUUAUUGUCGAAUAAUCUCACAACUAAAGAAAUAUUUAUCAGUGCUCAAGAAACUGCCAUGAACAUCGCAAACCAAAUGAAAAAUGGUACAUUUGUUCGGGGGAUAUUUCAGUUCAAUAUUUUCUAAAGUGUCUUCUUAACAACUACUCAAUUUUCGGGCCUCGAAAAUAUAUAAAAGUAGCGUCUCUUAGCUUGACAAGCUGAAAUCAUGAUGAUAAUUGAAAAUUUUUCAAGCCUUUUUAGCUCAAACAUAGCGGGAGGUUCCAAGAAUGAUUUGUAGGCGAAUGACGUGACAAAUGAAAGUGGUUGUACAUAUUUGAAGGUAUUUUUGAAUAAGUUUAAUUUUGUUAGUAGCUAGCAUUACUUAAAUAAACAAUAUAACUUACUUCAUUUUUUUCGCUGUUUUCGUCCCCAACCCGCUCCCUUCUUUCACCCUCCAAAGUACCGGAAACGUUGAUAUGUUCCAACAAGUCUAUUAAAUAAAAAAUUUUUUUUCAUAUCGUAGUAUCAUCAAACAUUGUAAAACUGCAGUUGGCUCAUUAUUUGAAUGAACCGUUUAUUUAAGUGAUUCUGUAUGAUAACCAUUUAUCAAUAUCCACGUUGAUAAAUUUUUCCCCUUAUACUAU